GUCAAGUCAUCAUGGCCCUUAUGUCCAGGGCGACACACGUGCUACAAUGGCCGGUACAAAGGGAAGCGAACCCGCGAGGGCAAGCGGAUCCCCCAAAGCCGGUCCCAGUUCGGAUUGAAGUCUGCAAUUCGACUUCAUGAAGCCGGAAUCGCUAGUAAUCGCAGAUCAGCCAAGCUGCGGUGAAUACGUUCCCGGGCCUU
rnacentral:rRNA from 1 species